CCUUGGCGCGCCUCACCAUACUCUUCCAGGUGCAAGGAAUGCAUUCUGAUUUCGCAACUCUAAAGAAGGCCAGCAUAUGGCAUGAGGCUUCAAGGAUUGCUCGUGAAGAAGGAUUUAGAGCUUUCUGGAAAGGGAAUCUAGUCACAAUUGCCCAUCGCCUUCCUUAUUCUUCUGUAAACUUUUAUACUUAUGAGCAGUACAAGAAGUUGCUUCAUAUGAUCCCAGGAGGGAAAG